UACGGGGGGAGCAAGCGUUGUUCGGAUUUACUGGGCGUAAAGGGCGCGUAGGCGGCGUGACAAGUCACUUGUGAAAUCUCCGGGCUUAACUCGGAACGGUCAAGUGAUACUGGAGGACUUGAGUACAGAAGAGGAAAGCGGAAUUCCACGUGUAGCGGUGAAAUGCGUAGAUAUCUGGAGGAAUACCGGUGGCGAAGGCGGCAUCCUGGACCAUUACUGACGCUGAGGCGCGAAAGCUAGGGGAGCAAACGGG
rnacentral:rRNA from 1 species